rnacentral:lncRNA from 1 species
CUUUGGUAGUGGUAUGACUAUAUGAUGUGUGGAACUGUUGAAGCCAUCUUGUCACUAUGAGGUCACAACUUCAAGGAUGAGAGGCCCACACACUGUGGAUGCCCAAAUAGAAGGAUGAGAAAAGCCUGGGUUUUUGAUGGCAUUGCUGAGCUUCAGAACAAACCCUAGGCUCACCUAUCUCCAGCCUCUCAUCAAGGAAAACAACAAUUGUCUUUAUGGUUCAAAUCACUGACUCCCCAGACUCAUCAGCCAGUGGCACAAAUGGGGCUCAUGUCAGCAUCAAUGGCUUACAGUUCAUGGCUCUUGCCCUCACCGGCCGACAGACGAUCUCGCAUCCUUGCAAAGUCUUCCUAAGGCCUCCAGCUGACUCUCUCCAUCCUCAUCUCUUAGAUUUUGAGCCUUCUGGGAGUGAUGCCAGGACUGUCUUGAGGGCAGGAGCUGUUUAUGUUUUGCGGUUGAGCACCUCCCAGUUGCCUUGCCCAUGGUUGUUGCUCAGAGAAAUUGUUG